AGAGUUCUCCAGAUCCUCCAAGCGCCGUCGGCGCCACCACUCCAGACACUGUUCACGAGGCCUCAAAGCGUGGAGGCGGUGGCCCGGGGCCGACUCUCGGGUGACCGCCAAUUUGGUCCCAAGACACUUCAGGAUCUCGCAACGGAUGGAGGACAGCGCGGUUCCAAGAGAGGGCGCCAAAGGCGACGCGCUGGCGGCCAGCUCCAAGCCAACCAGGCCCAUUGCGUCCGUCUGCAGGAACCUGUCUCUUCACCCUGCUUUGGACACUGAGCUUCGGAGGAUCUGGCUGCGAGCUGAUUCAACGCCAGGGCGCCGCCUAGAGGUCGGUCGCGUCCUCGGUCUCGCUCAGCGACCACAGAGCUGCUUGUCCAAGCCACAGUGUCAGACUUAAACAAAACAAAACAAAAUUCCUGCUUGGAUCAGAGACUUGGCUUCUGGGACCGUUGACUUAUCAGAAACUUGCCUCCUCUCUGCUUCAUAACGAACCCCAGGAAGAGAGAGGGACCAGGGAUCUCAAAGAAAUAUUUGUCCUGUGGCACCGACUAGGUGGAAGAAAAGUCUCAACAUGUCAGUUUCUUUUAAGGAUCUUAGAUUCUGUGUCUAGGUCUGCACUGGUUCGUCUCACUACCCAGAUUGCUCAGCCUAACUUCCUUCUCCAGUUCGUGCCAGGACGAUGCUUUAACUUUACGAAGAAAGGGGUCAUGGAAAAGUUACCCCUUUCUCUUAUAGAUCCAUUACAAGAUUUCUAGAUAAUUUGGAGAUGGACAUGUUUUGGAAAAGAAUUUGGAAAACAUCUCUCUCUCUCUCUCUCUCUCUCUGUGUGUGUGUGUGUGUGUGUGUGUGUGUGUGUGUGUGUUUGUGUGUGUGCAGUGAUAGGAAAAAUUGCCCACAUAGCCUUUACUUACUAAGUAAACUCCCACUGGUGUCCCAGCAAUAGUCAAGGGGGUACUUGGAGACACCAGUAGCCCUGCCCAGGGAAGUUUGUGCUGAGCCCUUGAAAGCUGAUUUUUGAGAUAAGGAUGACCUUGGAAGGCAUCCGACCAACAGGGUUGAGGUGUCCUUAAAGUCCAUGCAGGCUUCUUUUUUGAGACUGAGAUCAAAAGCCUGAGUUGUGGAGCUGCAGAGCCUCCAAGAAUGCGUGCUCCGAGAGUGUGUAUACACACAAGGUAUGCUGAGCUAAAGGUGUAGCCACUUCCGGUUUUCCAAGGAGCCCCUGUCUCCAGUCAUGGAGCUACAGAGACCAGGCAGCAGUGGGCUGGGAGCCAGCACACUGAUCUUGAGCCAUGGCUGUCCCUGACCAGGCAGCUCUAUUGGAGAUAGAAAAAUAAUAGUUUUGAGUAGCUGAGGACCGUUGGCCCACUCUGUCCUUCUUCCUCCCUCUCCUAUGUCUUCUAGAGGAAAAUGCUAAUCGAAGGUGUCAAGGUGUCACCACAGUGUUUCCAAUAGAAGUGGAGGAUGAUGAAGACCAAAGGAAGGGAGCACACAGUGAGGAUACGUGAUGGGCAGAGCUGCAGGGGCUCCCCCAUGUCAUUUUGGGAAAUAAAUAUUCUGUAGGUAUAAGGUACUUUCUGUCCCAGGUGCUCUUCCCUCUUGGUGCCAGGUCCUCCCACAGGGUGGACUACAACACUACUGCUCACCCCUAGCCAAUCUUUGGCAGAAUGAGACUGCCAAUUCAGCUUUUUUUUUUUAAUAGGAGACACCUUGGUAUUUUCCAAGACCCCUUUAAAAAAAAUCUAUCUGUAUUUUUUUAAUCUCCAGAGGAGGGAGACUUGGCAGCACUUCCUGGAGGGAGGGAUGAGUUGGCUAGGCUGCUGCUGCACCUGUGUGUCUGCGGGACAGGGGACCCCUCCUGGGUCUGCAGCUGAGCCUGAGAUUAUCUCAGCCUUUUGAGUGUAUUUUAAACCCGAAGUUUUGGUGCUUGGUGAUGAAUAAUUGGGGUGCAGGGAAUCCCUUUGCUGUCCCCCCAAAUCGCAUAAUCAUGUACUUCCAGUACACAAAGAGGGUCAGAAGCCACUAUCAUGGCUCCUGGUUCUCUGGAGUCCCCGGAGAAAGAGAAUUUUUUUUUUUCCUAUUAGUUUUGCGCUGCAGUGCUCUGGUAGAACAAAUCCGGAUUCCACGAAAAUUGUGGAGGGGGCGGGAGCAAACUGCCCAUGACGGAAGGCAGUGGCAACUUGAGGUCCACUGCUUGCUUUGAUUUGGUUUUGAAGCUUGUAAAAGAAAGGGAGAGAAGCAAGCAGUGAGACUCGGGGACAAGGAACGUCACUGUGCUGUCAUUUGUGCUUUGUACGCGGGACAAGGAGAUCCCCGCGGGUUUCACCUCUGGAGCGGUUCACUGCUCAGCCUCCUUCAAGCCCUGAGAGUUUUCCAAGUCUUAUCCCCUGUCCUAUUUUAACAAGUACCUGGCAAUAAACGGGUGGGGCAGGACAAAGGUCUGGAAGCCGGAAAGCAGCGGAAAACCCUAAACCCCGCAACAAGCAGAUAGCACAUCAGCUGGGCUUGUAGCGAGGAGUGCAGGGCUCCCAGCUCUGCCUAGCAGGUUGCUAGGAGCCCCGCAUCCAGAGUCCUUGGCUUGGCUCUGGGUUCUAGGGGCCCAGGUUAGGCGUUCACAGGCUUCCAGUCCUGGCCACGGAGCUAGAGAGAAAGGCACAGAGGCCCGGGAGACUUCUCUCCACGCGGGCAGAGUCUGCAAGCUAGUUUAGCCUAGUAAAUUGUUUUCCUUUCCGUAUACCCGCCCCGGUCGUGUUUCUUUUCAGGACAAGAGGGGAUAUAAACUGUUUGAAGUUCAUCAGCACGGUGAAGUUUUAUUGUAUUUCCGGUCCCUAAAAGAGAAGCCGGCAGCCAGGCAGACUCCCUCCUUAUCUCCGAGUUUCCAUGCCAGGGACACACACGUGGCCAAGCGGACACUUGCCUUCGGGAGCAGGGAGGGAGGGAGCCGGCUCCGAUCCACUCUCCCUCACCGGCUCAGGUAAGUCUAAGAGGCCUCUGAUAGUUGUGGCAUCAACUGAGCCACAACCUGUGAGGAUGUGCGAAGUGACUUUGUAGGGAUGGAAGAGAGCGGGAGACAAGGAUGUACUCAGACUAGAGGAAGCAAACUUGUUCUCUGCCUUUCCCCAGCCAGGUCCUCAACGUCUCCACUUCUUUGUAAAUGCGGAAAAGAGUGGCCUACCUGGGGCUGUCCAGCAGCUGUGAAACCAGAGUCCUAUCGUAUGCCAGCAGAGUGACUGUUUCAGCCUUAUUGUUUGUGCCCUAGAAUUCACGGUGCCUUCUAACCCUGACUU
ensembl:lincRNA Gm53 predicted gene 53